UUCGAUCCUGAUGCCUUGAUAAGUUUCCGAAUUAUGGUCUAUUACUAAUCACGGAAUGUUAUUAAUCCAUGGAUUCAUGUUGCAAAUGUUUUUUCCUAUUUUUUUAAUUUGUUUUUUUAAGUAAAAUAAAUUUAAAAUAAUUUUUUUUUGGACAAUCCUUGGAUUCGUGUUUAAGAAUUUUUUUUCCUAUCUCAAAUGCAAUUUUUACUUUUUU
rnacentral:lncRNA from 1 species